GGACGGGGCGGCGGGAAGGGGUCGGGGCAAACGAUCCCAGUGGUGUUCGUGGCGGCUGAUGCAGCAGCAGGAAAAAUCUCGGCGGCGACAAGAACGACUCCGUCCGAAAAGGAAGAAUUGGGUCGGCGGUGAGGGGGAAGGGUGGAAAGCCGGACGCUGGAAAAGGAAGACUUAAGAGUGGCCACGGUCGCCACGGUCUCUUCUCAGCUGGCUCUAGAUUAAAGUGCGGCUUCCACCACACCUAAGCCACUGAGGCCGUGCUGUGAAGAUGGCCAAGGAUGUCUGCAUUGCCUCAGUCGAGCGAUUGCUGCUCCGCCCUUUGCUGGGCUUCGGUAGCCUUUCAGUGCAUUUGAUGGAGCUGACCAUGCUGAGAGUUGGAGAGCGAGCCUUCCUGGCCGAGGGACUGCACCCCACAAAGGCCCUGAGAUGCCGGCAAGCCUAGGGGGCUCAGGAAACAGGGAAAGGGCUGGUGUGGCUACAGUGCAGGAGCAAUGGGUCUGACCUGAGAAGGCAGAGUCUGCAAGGCCAAGUCACAUGGCCCCUCGUCAGCUAGAGGGGAGCCUUGGCUCUGGGCCUGGCACAGAGCAGGUGCCAGUAUUAGCUCCUGUCACUGUUAUUAUUAAGAGCUUAAUGGUGCCAAGUGUGAGAAAGGUGGGAAGAGGACUGGGGAGAGAAAUGUAGAGAAAAUCCCAGGCCUUGAAGAGCCUUCUGCUUAGUUGAGGGUUUAGAUUAAACCUGUUACAUAGGUAACUGGACAAGAGAGCCUGAGAGUUGAUUUCUUGAUGGUCAGUUUGUAGUCAUCCCCUGGCCCCCAUGACCUGUCACAUCCUUUUUUGGUGAACUGUGUCCCAUUCAGUGAUUCUCUCUAGAUAAAUUAAGGUUCAUUUAUUCACUUGCAAGGGAGCAAAAGUGAGCUGUGAGUCCCACUGAAGAAAGAGCUGACUAGGAAGAUCCUACCCAUGAGACGUAGUGCGGGCUGGGGACAGAGGCAACCCCGGUGUCCCCUCCACUUUCCCAGGUGACUCAGAAUAAUCCCCUCCCGACAAACCACACGCUGCUCUGUGCCAAGCUGCAAAGCUCACAAAAGAAACCAGACUCUGUAAGCAGCUCUUUGGGUCCUUGAGGCAACACAUGUGAUCUAAAGUGGGUGUGUUUUUAUUCUCCUGGUGUCCUUGCCACACUCAUCCCUACGAGGGGCACACCUGUAGGCACACACACACAUACACACACUCAACAUCCAGAUAUUUAAAAUACACACUCAUCCCACACACACACUAUACUCAGCAUAUACAACAUAGAAACACAACACACAAGCUCAGUAUACACUCAACAAAUACACACCCUCAACGUACAUACUCAACAAAUACACGAGCAAUGCACCCACACAUUCAAUACACGUGCAUGUACCUAUACUACACACACACACACAAAACACCUGCACAGUCAACACUCACUCAAACAUUUAUGCACAAUCUGAACAUUCAUGAUGCUGGAGGACUAUGAGAUACUCCUAUUUCUUUGCCUUUAUUGCCCAGCAAACUGACAGUGGGACAGUGUAGAAAACUGAAGUGAGUCAGGAAAGAUUCACUACUUCCAGUUAUAAUUUGAUGCCAUCUAUCUGCAGAUCAGAGUCUGGUAGAAAGGAGAUCAAGGAAAAUGAGCAGCUAAUUCUGAACACAUGAAGACACACUGGCAUGGUGCAGCUCUCUCUUUCUGCAUCUGUCUCUCUGUCUCUGUCAGUAUCUGUAAUUAUGGAAAAGUUGGCCCAGAAGUGAUCCAUUUAGAAAUGAGCUUGACAAAGAGUUAAUAGGUACAUGGCUUUCAGAGAACACCUGUCUGAAAUGGGGUAACCUGAGGUUACUCCCACAAAGCUUGAAAUCUUUGAAAAUGUUCCAGAUACCAUCUAGGCAAACUGAUAGACAUUGGGGGAUACAAAACCAAAACUUUAUUGAAGAAUCUCAUGAACAAGUGGUAUAUAUGAUCUUGCCGUAUCUAAAAUUAAUUCACUUUCAUUUGCAAACUCUGACGCUAGCAGACUUCUUCCUCAAAAUGAUAAGCCCAUGGAGCAUUCUGGGAAAUGGCAUGUAAAUGAGUAAUAUCACCAUGUUCCCAGUUUUUGAAGCUGGUAGAUUGUUCAUAUGGCAAGAAAUGUGCUAGGGAAGAGUGUGUUCCAUCCCUAAUCUGGUUGUUUUCAGACUUCUCUGCUUGAGGACAUUUUGUCAUUACACUAGUUUUCCAGCGUUCCUCUUUUUCACGUCUGGAAGCUCAACUUUCUUUUCUCUCAUGCUCCAUUUUUGGCAUUCCAGGGGAGUGCGAUAUCUUUAUUGUCUGCAUUUUAGAUUCUAAAGCAUCUGUCAAGUGUCUACAUGUGUCUGGCUCAAAGAGGUGCUUCACCUGAAGAAAACUUAAUAGAGCUUUAAAAGUCAAAGUCACCAAGAAGGACUCAGCAAGAUUUGACAAUUGUCUUGGUAUUUUUUGUUGUUUUUGUCUUAAAGUUUAAAAAUGUAUUAAUAAUCUUAUUUUAGAACAUGCUAAUCUGCUACUGAUGGAAAUGGGAGGGGAAAAAAACUGGUUCAUCACCCACAGAUAGUUUGAGAAAUAACAUAACAGACAACAUCAAAACCAAGAAAUUCUAUUCAUGAAAUACCCAUAAAAGAGGAAAAGACAAGCCACAGAAUGGGAAAACAGUAUUUACAGCACAUUAUUUGUUAAGGAAGUGAUAAGAACGAACUCAAGUAAAAAUGGGCAAAAAAACCCAGACACUUUACGUGAGAAAUCCCAAUGCCUGGUGAACACGUGGGGAGGGCUCAACCUCACUAUCACCAGGGAAAUGAAUAUUAAAGCCACAGAGCCACCAGAUCAACAGAAACUAAGUCUUGUCGUCCCAAAUGUUGCUGAGGAUGCUGAGCAGCAGGAGCUCGCUGGUGGGAGAGUAAAGCAGUCGGAGCCUGGGAACACUCUCUGGCAGCAUCCUCUAAAGCAGAACAGAAGAAGCCAGACAUGUAGGCAGCAGUUAAUACCACUCCCAGUCCUGGUCCUAGGAACAAACCCUAUGAUGAAGGCAGCAUGGUUUGUGAUGGUUGUAAAGUGAAAACUAGCCAAAUGCCCACCAGCAGUGACUGGACAAAUAGAUGGCAUGCUGUUCAUGCUAUGGAAGAGCAGACAGCAGUGAAGACCAUCAGGCCACUGCUUUGGACAGUGACGUCGAUGAAGAUCACCGACUGCACCCUCUGUCCACCCAGGUGCAGUGCCUCUCAGGGCCAGAUCUCCUAGACACUCAGUGACAUCCUAGUGCUGGACUUGCUCCUGUCGGCAGAGCCUGCGCCUGCUGGAUGCCCAGGCAUCAACCAGUGAGACAAGGUCCCUGAAAGGCCUGGGUGGGAGGAGUCCUGGCCUCCCCUGGUCACUGCUGUGCUGCUGCUGGCAGUGCUGUGUGGAGCAUUUGGCCUGACAGUUCUUGAACUCCAGGUGCUUGUUCAGGUUGAGCCCUAUGACCCUCCCGCACCUCAGAGGCUGGUACCUGCCCUUCUCCAAGUGUUUCCCCAGCACCUGCUGCUGUUCCCAGCUGUGAACCUGCAUUCCUGCUGCCACCUCCUCUGGAGCCUGGGGAUGGCAUGGGGUUCAUGAGAUUCUUAGAUCUUCACGUCUGUCCGAGGAGCUUGCCAGUCUUGUGGAGCACCGGGGAACCCAGCAGUGCCUGAGACCAGCGGCCAUCCUGAGCUAAAGACGGCUGCUCAGGGCCCUCUGGCCAAGUCAGCUCACCUCCUCUCAUCUCAUCUAAUCUAAGUCAGAAGUCAGCAUCCCGCCCUUGACUCUGCUUUUAGAGAGAGUGGGGUGACUCUGGAGACGGCCCUUCCAAGGAUACAGUGAGAAGUCAGCAGUCCGUGACCUGGAAGGGAGCCUCACCGGGGCCUAACCCCGCUGGCACCCUGACCUGCACCUUUGAGCCUCCAGAACUGUGAGAAAUAAAUGUGUGUUGUUUAAG